rnacentral:rRNA from 1 species
AGGAUGAACGCUGGCGGUCUGCUUAACACAUGCAAGUCGAACGGAGUAGCAAUACUUAGUGGCGGACGGGUGAGUAACGCGUGAGAAUCUACCUUCAGGACGGAGACAACAGUUGGAAACGACUGCUAACCCCCGAUGUACCGAAAGGGCAAAUAUUUAUAGCCUGAAGAAGAGCUCGCGUCCGAUUAGCUAGUUGGAGAGGUAAAAGCUCACCAAGGCGACGAUCGGUAGCUGGUCUGAGAGGACGAUCAGCCACACUGGGACUGAGACACGGCCCAGACUCCUACGGGAGGCAGCAGUGGGGAAUUUUCCGCAAUGGGCGAAAGCCUGACGGAGCAAGACCGCGUGGGGGAAGAAGGCUCUUGGGUUGUAAACCCCUUUUCUCUGGGAAGAACGCAAUGACGGUACCAGAGGAAUCAGCAUCGGCUAACUCCACGCCAGCAGCCGC